rnacentral:rRNA from 1 species
UACGUAGGGUGCAAGCGUUUGUCCGGAAUUAUUGGGCGUAAAGGGCUCGUAGGCGGCCAACUAAGUCGGACGUGAAAAUCCCCAGGCUCAACCUGGGAACUGCGUCCGAUACUGGAUGGCUUGAAUCCGGGAGAGGGAUGCAGAAUUCCAGGUGUAGCGGUGAAAUGCGUAGAUAUCUGGAGGAAUACCGGUGGCGAAGGCGGCAUCCUGGACCGGCAUUGACGCUGAGGAGCGAAAGCCAGGGGAGCAAACGGG